rnacentral:piRNA from 1 species
UAGCAAUACGAUUACGUUUCA